CAUGCCAUAUUUUGUGUAAAGUUUCGACGGCCCACAAACUUGGGCCCGUUCCAGUUGGAAUUAAUUUUGCUCUUCUUUUCCCCAGUCACCGACUAAACGAAUGAGGAAAAAAACUCCCACGGCCUUCUUCUCCCUCGUGCCCUUAUUCUUUCCCGGCAGCGACGACUAGGCGAGCGGCGGGACCCGGUUGCUAGGUUGGCCAGAACGCAGGGUGUGGGGAAUUGGUGAGCGACUGCAGCCAUGUCUGUGGCCACCGGCGUGAGCGACGCGGCCAUCGCAGUGCGCGAUAAGCUCUGUGGCAAGAUUGGCGAGACCAAGGUGAAGCGGUACUGGCCAGAAAAGCCGUCUGAGUGGGCCAACUAGAGAUGACAAUGGGUACCCGCGACUCGAUACCUGAUGUAUAUUUACUCCAUUAGGGUAUGUAUGUAGACUAAAUAUUCUACCCGUGAGUCUGUUAUUGGGUAAAAAUCUUCACUCAAUGGGUAAACGAGUAUUAGAACGUUCGCCUUCACCCAUACCCGUUAACUCGUGGGUAUAAAAUACCCAAUAUAAACUUAGCCCAAGCAUGAACUUGGACUUUAGUCAUCCAUCUUUUUUACUAUUUAACAAACUGUAAUGUCAUAGAAGCCUUAACGACAAUUUAAUGACCAUGUAAUGGAACAUGUAAUGUGCUAUGUAGUACUAUCCUAGUGUUACUAUUUUAUCCAAUUA